GAAGUAAAUAAUAUCUUAACCUGUAUAUGCUAGAAAUAUGGUCUAGUGUCUCUACGUCUUACCAUUAAAUAAGACUCUAUAGGUUAAUGCUUUGGGCAU
rnacentral:ncRNA from 2 species